UACAGUGGGGAAUUUUGGACAAUGUUGGCAAGCGUGAUCCAGCAAUGCCGCGUGAGGGAAGAAGGCCUUCGGGUUGUAAAGCUCUUUUGUCCUGUAUUAAACGGUGAGAACUAAUAUCUCUUGCUAUUGACGGUACCUGAAGAAUAAGCACCGGCUAACUACGUGCCACCACCCGCGGGAAUACGUAGGGAGCAAGCGUUAGUCGGAAUUACUCGGCGUUAAGGGUGCGCAGGCGGGUUUGUAAGUUUGUCGAGAAAUCCCCUGACUCAACCUGGCACUUGCUAUGAAUACUGAUGAGCUUGGAUAUGGUUGAGUCUGGUAGAGUUCCACGUGUAUCAGUGAGAUGCGUAGAGAUGUGUAGAAACACCGAUGACCAACGCUGCCCCCUGCAUCCAGAUUGAUGCUCAUG
rnacentral:rRNA from 1 species